GGAUUGUGGCUCAGAGGGAGAGCUUUCGCCUUGCAUUCGUGGGGCACUGGGUUCAAUCCUCAGCACCA
rnacentral:tRNA from 1 species